rnacentral:rRNA from 1 species
AUCGUAACUCCUACGGGAGGCAGCAGUGGGGAAUAUUGCGCAAUGGGGGGUACCCUGACGCAGCCAUGCCGCGUGAAUGAAGAAGGCCUUAGAGUUGUAAAGUUCUUUCGGUAUUGAGGAAGGUUGAUGUGAUAAUAGCAAAUCAAAUUGACGUUAAAUACAGAAGAAGCACCGGCUAACUCCGUGCCAGCAGCCGCGGUAAUAAGGAGGGUGCGAGCGUUAAUCGGAAUAACUGGGCGUAAAGGGCACGCAGGCGGUUAUUUAAGUGAGGUGUGAAAGCCCCGGGCUUAACCUGGGAAUUGCAUUUCAGACUGGGUAACUAGAGUACUUUAGGGAGGGGUAGAAUUCCACGUGUAGCGGUGAGAUGCGUAGAGAUGUGGAGGAAUACCGAAGGCGAAGGCAGCCCCUUGGGAAUGUACUGACGCUCAUGUGCGAAAGCGUGGGGAGCAAACAGGAUUAGAUACCCCUGUAGUCCUAGAGC